UACGUAGGGCGCAAGCGUUAUCCGGAAUUAUUGGGCGUAAAGCGCGCGUAGGCGGUUUUUUGAGUCUGCCGUGAAAGUCCGGGGCUCAACUCCGGAUCUGCGGUGGGUACGGGCAGACUAGAGUGAUGUAGGGGAGACUGGAAUUCCUGGUGUAGCGGUGAAAUGCGCAGAUAUCAGGAGGAACACCGAUGGCGAAGGCAGGUCUCUGGGCAUUAACUGACGCUGAGGAGCGAAAGCAUGGGGAGCGAACAGG
rnacentral:rRNA from 1 species